CCUACGGGUGGCAGCAGUGAGGAAUAUUGGUCAAUGGGCGCGAGCCUGAACCAGCCAAGUCGCGUGAGGGAAGACGGUCCUAUGGAUUGUAAACCUCUUUUGUCGGGGAGCAAAAGACGCCACGCGUGGCGUUCCGAGAGUACCCGAAGAAUAAGCACCGGCUAACUCCGUGCCAGCAGCCGCGGUAAUACGGAGGGUGCGGGCGUUAUCCGGAUUUAUUGGGUUUAAAGGGGGCGCAGGCCGGCCUUUAAGUGUGGGGUGAAAUGCCCGGGCUCAACCCUGGCACCGCAGUUGGAACUGGCGGGCUCGAGUUGGAGAGAGGUAUGCGGAAUGCGUGGUGUAGCGGUGAAAUGCUUAGAUAUCGCGCAGAACUCCGAUUGCGAAGGUAGCAUGCCGGCUCCACACUGACGCUGAGGCACGAAGGCGUGGGUAUCGAACAGGAUUAGAUACCCGAGUAGUC
rnacentral:rRNA from 1 species